UACGGGGGGAGCAAGCGUUGUUCGGAUUUACUGGGCGUAAAGGGCGCGUAGGCGGCCAGCACAAGUCAGUUGUGAAAUCUCCGGGCUUAACUCGGAAAGGUCAACUGAUACUGUGCGACUAGAGUGCAGAAGGGGCAACUGGAAUUCUCGGUGUAGCGGUGAAAUGCGUAGAUAUCGAGAGGAACACCUGCGGCGAAGGCGGUUCUCUGGGCCUGUACUGACGCUGAGGAGCGAAAGCGUGGGGAGCGAACAGG
rnacentral:rRNA from 1 species